UACGGGGGGGGCAAGCGUUGUUCGGAAUUACUGGGCGUAAAGGGCGCGUAGGCGGCCUGCUAAGUCACACGUGAAAUCCCUCGGCUCAACCGGGGAACUGCGUGUGAUACUGGCGGGCUUGAAUUCGGGAGAGGGAUGUGGAAUUCCAGGUGUAGCGGUGAAAUGCGUAGAUAUCUGGAGGAACACCGGUGGCGAAGGCGGCAUCCUGGACCGGCAUUGACGCUGAGGAGCGAAAGCCAGGGGAGCAAACGGG
rnacentral:rRNA from 1 species